rnacentral:tRNA from 1 species
AAAACCUUAGUAAAACUAUUACAUAGCCCUGUCAGAGCUAAAUUAUAGAAUAACGCCCUAUAGGUUUUA